rnacentral:rRNA from 1 species
CAUCUCCUCUUCCCCCGUCCCCUUCUCCACCACCGGCCGCCGCCGCGGCCAGGCCGGCGUGGCGGCGCACCAUCCAUCCAUUGGCGCCGCCAGCCACGACCAUCUCCACCACGCACCACCAGCACCAUACCAUCCAUCCUGCCAACCUCCAGCGCCAUUGCAUCCACGGCGCGGCCGACCAGACAAGUUGUCUGGUGCCUCGCGCGACCAUCCCCACGCUGCUGCUGCUUUUCCGACGUCCCUGCUGCUCCUCCGCUUCCCUCGCCUUGCUGCUGCUUUUCUUUCUCAACGCCGGCUGCUGCUUCCCCGCUUCCCUCCGCUGCUUGCUGCUUCUUCUUCUCUCCCCUGCUCAAAACUGUUGCUGCUUCGCUAACUCUGCUGCUUCUUCUCUGAUCCCCUGCUGCUGCAUUUCUCCUCUGCCACCCUCAACGUCUGCUUCUGCUGCAUCUCUUCUUUUCUCCCCAAAACUGCUGAUCUACUCUCUUGCUGCGCCCACGCUUCUCUUCUGAACCUGAAGCUCUUCUACAAUCUCUCUCUCUCUCUCUCUCUCUCUCUCUCUCUCUCUCUCUCUCUCUCUCUCUCUCUCUCUCUAAAUAUUGUACGUUGCAUUGUAAGAAUUGGUGAAUUGUCCAGAAUUAAUGUGGUUUAGUAUUUCUAUUAUGUUGAUCUGUUAGUACGAGUACGUAGUUUGCUUAAACCAAUUCAUAUUUGUAUUGUCACUCUUGUGCUUCUCUUACUGUAGAAACUGGUUCUAGAUUGUAGUCCAUGUGUUAGCAAGUUCUUGUCAUACAUAUGUACUUGUGAUGUGAAGUAUGUUUGUCCCUGUACCUUAAUCUUGCUUCUUCCUUUUUAUACAUU